rnacentral:rRNA from 1 species
UACGGAAGGCAGCAGUGGGGAAUAUUGCACAAUGGGCGCAAGCCUGAUGCAGCCAUGCCGCGUGUAUGAAGAAGGCCUUCGGGUUGUAAAGUACUUUCAGUCGUGAGGAAGGUGUUAAGGUUAAUAACCUUAGCAAUUGACGUUAGCGACAGAAGAAGCACCGGCUAACUCCGUGCCAGCAGCCGCGGUAAUACGGGAGGGUGCGAGCGUUAAUCGGAAUUACUGGGCGUAAAGGGCACGCAGGCGGUUAAUUAAGUUGGAUGUGAAAUCCCCGGGCUUAACCUGGGAAUGGCAUUCAAGACUGGUUAGCUAGAGUCUUGUAGAGGGGGUAGAAUUCCAUGUGUAGCGGUGAAAUGCGUAGAGAUGUGGAGGAAUACCGGUGGCGAAGGCGGCCCCUGGGACAAAGACUGACGCUCAUGUGCGAAAGCGUGGGGAGCAAACAGGAUUAGAUA